rnacentral:rRNA from 1 species
CCUACGGGAGGCUGCAGUGAGGAAUAUUGGUCAAUGGACGAGAGUCUGAACCAGCCAAGUAGCGUGAAGGAUGACUGCCCUAUGGGUUGUAAACUUCUUUUAUAUGGGAAUAAAAUGUUCCACGUGUGGGAUUUUGUAUGUACCAUAUGAAUAAGGAUCGGCUAACUCCGUGCCAGCAGCCGCGGUAAUACGGAGGAUCCGAGCGUUAUCCGGAUUUAUUGGGUUUAAUGGGAGCGUAGGUGGAUUGUUAAGUCAGUUGUGAAAGUUUGCGGCUCAACCGUAAAAUUGCAGUUGAAACUGGCAGUCUUGAGUAGAGUAGAGGUGGGCGGAAUUCGUGGUGUAGCGGUGAAAUGCUUAGAUAUCACGAAGAACUCCGAUUGCGAAGGCAGCUCACUGGACUGCAACUGACACUGAGGCUCGAAAGUGUGGGUAUCGAACAGGAUUAGAUACCCUGGUAGUC